rnacentral:rRNA from 1 species
AUGGCGAGGCGUCGCCUCCUUGCCGUGCUUAUGCUCCUCGUCGUGGUAGUGGCAGCCUCCACUUUCCACCAAGCGGCCGCCGCUGGCCGAGGCCUUGCUGCCGUCGAGAAGUUUGCGGACCUGGAGCCAAAGCCAAAACCUAAACCAGAGCCAAUGCCCAAACAAAUGCCCAAGCCAGAACCCAAGCCGAUGCCUAAACCUGAACCGAAGCCAGAGCCCAAGCCCAAGCCAAUGCCCAAACCUGAACCAAAGCCAGAGCCCAAGCAUAAACCAAUGCCUAAGCCAGAGCCCAAGCCGGAACCUAUGCCUAAGCCGGAGCCCAAGCCUAAACCUGACCCGAAACCAGAGCCACCACCGAAGCACAAGCCGCCAACAGCUUACAAUUGA